rnacentral:lncRNA from 1 species
UUCCUGUAUCUGGCCGUAUUCGCCUUAUCUGCAAAGUUUUAUCAUGAUAUAGCAAGGGUGAGCAUGAAAGUUGCCCAGCAAGUUUUAAAAAAAAAUAAGGUAAAGAUAUAUCAUGAUUGAAAGAGUUUGAAUAGUAAGCUGGCUAUCCUUCACAAUGUAGUUGUGAAUUAGCAUGAACAAAAUUUCAAAGUUGAAUGAACAUUGAAAAUGAACAUAACAAUUAUAUCUAAACUGACUGGUAAUGAAGGUGAUCAGCCUUUCAUACCUGAUGAAUACAUGCAAUAUGUGCAGAGUACAAUUCAUAAGCAUAUCUGUCUAAAACCACUCUUAAAAGAGUUUAAGUAAAAAGAACUUGAAAAACUUGCACCAUAAUUGGAAGUUCAAGUUUAGGAACUUGCCUGUACCGUUGAUUACCGUAACACAAUAUAAUACGCUUCUCCUGAAGACCUAAUAUUAAUAAUAUAGAUCUCCAGUAUUAGAAUAAUAUCAUCACAGUUAUAAAAUAACUUAAACAUAUUACCACAUAAUCUUAUCAGUCUCUUAUACACAUAAGACAUAGCUUCAAGUCAAACUAUUACAGUCCGAGUUGAAAUCGGUACAAUUCUUUCAUCCUGAUGGUCUAAUCGGACAAUUAACGAGUCUAAAUUUAAUUAAACUCUGCCUAAACACUUAACGAUAUCACAGAUAAUUUUCUUAUCAGUAAAAACAUUUUUCUUAGACUUGUAAAAAUUUUCAGAUAAUUAUUACCAUUUAUCAUGCUUUUUCGAUCAUUAAUAACGUAUUUAAAUAAAUUAAAUACCACAUAAUUCUUUAAUUAUUAAUAUCUAUUUAAUAUCAAAUAUUAAUGAAAAUCAUUACAUAAUAUUAUAAUAUAAUUUAUAAUAUAUCACGGUAUUUUUAAUACCUUAAAAUCACAUUUAUAUGAUUUUUAAACACUUAAAAUCAUUAUCCGAUAAUUGAUAUUAAUAAUAAAAUAUUAAUAUUUUCAUGCCAAAAUAUCAAAAGUUAUAGUUUAUAACUUAAAAUAUUUUUCUAACACUUAAAUCAUUGUUAUAUGAUUUUUAAAGCAUUAAUUCUAUUUUUCCGUAAUUUAUUUAAUAUAUUUAUUAAAUAAAACAAUUAUCAUUAGUAUUGAUUAAUUAAUGAAUUUCAUCACAAAAUAUUAAAAGUCAUUAAAAAUAACUUAAAAUAUUUUAUAACAUCAUAAAAUGACUUUUCAUGAUUUUCCAUGAAUUAAAAUUAUAUUUAAAUCAUUUAAUUAGUAUUAUAAUUAAAUAAUUAAAUACCUAUAUGUAAAUCCAUUAUCAGGCGACCUCCAAACCCGGCGGCGCAAAUCAGCUCUGACGACAAUUCUUCAAUUUCGAACCCAACUACGUGAAGUGGAGCAUCCCAAUCCUCCAUCUUGUUUGGAGCAUCUUUCUAUUGUGCCUUACCAAUCUCUUUUGCUCACCACCAUAGUAUUAAACCCGGUGACUUGCCGGUCGUCGUUUAUUAUCUGGUAUGCCGCUUCUUUUGGUAUCGAAUUCUCACCCAUCUUAAGCCUGGGAUGGUUGCAUGGUCUGCUGCCGAAAAAUCAAGAACUACCGUAACGUAUCAACACCAAGGCUUGAACCAAGAUGACCCACAGUCUUGGAAACAUUGAAGAUGACAACGUAUACGUUCCAUUAUUACCCGUCAAAGACCUCAGCCCAUUAACAUUCGUUUUCCGGCGAAGGAGUCCGGUUUUCGACCCUUGGGUGCUACUUUCCAGUGAGAUCAGUGAGUAGAGCUCUGCUGUACAUAUCAUUGACAACACAUCCCUCGACAAAAAUGACAUACGGGUUGAGUAAGUGAAGAAAUACUCCUCUUCAACAGAACCCAUAAUCCCUCUCUCUCUCUCCGAUCACCGGGCUGUCACAUGAUCUCGUCGGAAACAUUAAUCCAGUCCAGCAGUCGCUCCACCGGAUCUUCCAUGAAACUGGGAUGGUCGGCGGCACAAACCAGCUCCGACGACGUCAUCCUCCACCAGCCAUGAACGAUUAUAUAUAUAUAUAUAU